rnacentral:lncRNA from 1 species
CUUGAUGUCACUUUCUUAAAGAAUUGCUAAAGACAGCUUUACUUUAUCUGAAAUUAUCUUAGUUUACUUUCAUUUUCUAAGGAUAUCUUGAUUGGAUUUUGAAUUCUGGGUUAGUAGGUGGUUUUUCCUGAGUACUUUAAAGGUGUUAUUCCAGAGACAGUGUCAAGAUGGCAGCAUAGGUGGACUCUGAACUCACCUUCUCCCAUGGACGCAACCAAUUUACAACUACUCUUGGAACAAUUACCCCUGAGAGAGAACCAAAAACUGAGUGUAAUGAAUCCCAACAACAAGGGACAGUGCUGACUGAGGUGGAAGAGGCAGAAAUUCCUUUCUGGAGAGAAAAAUGCCACCUUUGACCCACAGCACUUCACACCUGACUGGGAGCAAUCUUAAGUCCUGAACCCCGCUGCCUCAGAAUGUGACUGUAUUUGGAGAUCGGGCCCUUAAAGAUGGUGGGCCCUAAUCCGUUUUCACAGACACACACAGAGGAAGAUUAUGUGAAGACACGGAGAAAAGAUGGCCAUCUACCAGCCAAGGAGAGAGACCUCAGAAGAAACCAACCCUGCUGGCACCUUGAUCUCAGACUUCUAGCCUCCAGACUUGGCACUUCGAAGUAGCUGUGACUCUGGGAAUCCAGGCGGAUAUUGGGACCAAUUCAAGAGGCUCUGAGAGUGGCAUCCUGGGGGACGCAAGCACCACGUAGGUUCUCAGCCAGCCCAGAGUCCCUCCUUAUGGCAUGUGCUUCUGGCUCCUGUUUCCUGGCUUUCCAAGAGCGCUGUCACUGGAUAGCCUGCUGGAGACUUUGGGGGAGAGCAAAGACGAGGAGCAUCAAGGAGACCACACUCUUUUUCUCUAAGCAGUCUCGGGAGAACAGAAUUCCAAGCGUUAAAGUGGAUGGUGUGGAUUUUAGAGGUGUAAACUGUGAG